CCGCAUCCGUUUUAGAAAGUAUCGUUAAAGCGUUGUUGGUCAUCUUCUUAGCUACUACUUGCUUGAAUAAAAUGUACUAUCUUGAUCAGAUAAAUGUCAUGUAUAGGUAGUAGUGAGUGAGUAGGUGCUUGUUUGUUUGAGAUAAAGUUGAACAUUUUUUCUGAUGAGAUAAACUGCUUGACCCAUUUACCGGGAACGUCGCGUGCGCGCCGGCCCUCCACCAACUGAGGUGCGACGACCGCUCCAGCUCCAGGCGCGGCGGUCGCGUGUUCCCCGGCACCUCCACCUCCCGAGGCAAGGGGACGGUACCGGUGUCGGGCAGGUAUCUGCUCCAGGAGCUCGUACUCGCGUCUCCUCCCCUCCAGACGCCGUUCUACCUCCUUCUCCUAGGGCGCCGGCGGUACGGGACGAGCGGCACGGCCGUGGGUCGGCACGAGGCAGCGCCGGCGGCGUCGGUUCGGUGCGUGGCUGCGCUGGCGGCGGGGCAGGAAUCUGCUACAUCUGUUCCGGCAGCUCGCACUCGUGUCUCCUCCCCUCCAGUUGCCGUUCUACCUCCUUCUCCUAGGGCGCCGGCGGUACGGGACGAGCGGCACGGCCGCGGGUCGGCGCGAGGCGGUGUCUCGAGGGACCGCGGUCAGCGGUAGGCGCGGCGAGCGGCAGGUCGGCCAGUUGUAGGGGUAGCGCCCGUACACACACAUCACCCGACCACCGUACACACACGCACCCACCUACACUUAGAACACGCACACACUCUCCUAUUCCCUCUGUACGU
rnacentral:rRNA from 1 species